UAAGAUGAAGUUUUCGGAUGGAAUCUUGAUUGACUGAGUGGCGGACGGGUGAGUAACGCGUGGAUAACCUGCCUCACACUGGGGGAUAACAGUUAGAAAUGACUGCUAAUACCGCAUAAGCGCACAGUGCCGCAUGGCAGUGUGUGAAAAACUCCGGUGGUGUGAGAUGGAUCCGCGUCUGAUUAGCCAGUUGGCGGGGUAACGGCCCACCAAAGCGACGAUCAGUAGCCGACCUGAGAGGGUGACCGGCCACAUUGGGACUGAGACACGGCCCAAACUCCUACGGGAGGCAGCAGUGGGGAAUAUUGCACAAUGGGCGAAAGCCUGAUGCAGCGACGCCGCGUGAGUGAAGAAGUAUUUCGGUAUGUAAAGCUCUAUCAGCAGGGAAGAAAAUGACGGUACCUGACUAAGAAGCCCCGGCUAACUACGUGCCAGCAGCCGCGGUAAUACGUAGGGGGCAAGCGUUAUCCGGAUUUACUGGGUGUAAAGGGAGCGUAGACGGCGAAGCAAGUCUGAAGUGAAAACCCAGGGCUCAACCCUGGGACUGCUUUGGAAACUGUUUUGCUAGAGUGUCGGAGAGGUAAGUGGAAUUCCUAGUGUAGCGGUGAAAUGCGUAGAUAUUAGGAGGAACACCAGUGGCGAAGGCGGCUUACUGGAC
rnacentral:rRNA from 1 species